UGGCAGCAGUGGGUUUUGAACCCAUACCUCCGAAAAGACUGGUGCCUUAAACCAGCACCUUAAACUGCUUGGCCACGCUACC